rnacentral:rRNA from 1 species
CGACCGCGCACGGGUGAGUAACACGUAUGCAACCUGCCCUCCGCAGGGGGAUAACCCGGAGAAAUCCGGACUAAUACCGCGUGGUACACCAGUGGGGCAUCCCACUGGUGUUAAAAGGAAGUGAUUCCGGCGGAGGAUGGGCAUGCGGCGCAUUAGCUUGUUGGCGGGGUAACGGCCCACCAAGGCGACGAUGCGUAGGGGUUCUGAGAGGAAGGUCCCCCACACUGGUACUGAGACACGGACCAGACUCCUACGGAAGGCAGCAG